AUGACAUAUGAAAUAAGAGAGAGUAUCAGCAAAACACAACAACCAUUUAACACCCUACUCUCUCUCUCCACAUUGGUAUAUCUCUCUCCUUUUGUUCAUUCUCAUCUUCUCUCUGUACUUUCUUCUUCAUGCUUCAAAUUCCUUAGAUUCACACACACAAAUAACAUAAUCAUCGCUUUAAUUCAAAUCCAAAGAUUUAAAGAGAAAACUUACAAGUCGUGGCGCGUAUGGACAAUUUUUAAAGGCUUGAGGUUCAAAUCAGAGGGGUUUGCAUCGAAGUUUGGUCGUGGGCUUCGGGAGCGUGUUCUGUGCGGUGGCAAGUCAAGAUCUGAGGAUUCCACGGUGUUGUGA